CUCUUAUGUAGUUUUAUUAUAUACUAUCAAAAUAUUUUCUAUUGUAUUUAAUAAUUAAUUCUCAUUCACACUGCCACGUCACUGUCCUCAGUGGCGUAACUACUAUGGGCUCGGACUGGGAGAAUCCGGGGGCCACCAACCCCAAUGGGCCCGCAAAUGGGGGCCCCAGGCUCAGGCUAUAGAGCAAAAACAUUGGCCAAGGGCCUCUGAUAUGUUACAAUGGCGUUUUCUGACCAUCGGAAUUCUGUAAAAUCUCUCCCCAAAGUCCGGGAAAUGGUAUUUCAGAGAAUUUAGAUUCAAAAAUUUUCCGGGUGAGCAUGCUCUGGAUCCCUAGAAAACUUGUCCAUAUAUGGUGCUUAAAGAUAUAAUUUUGCAGUGUGUAUUAAAGGGAUAUUUUUUGUCAAGAGAACAGUUUCGUUAACAUUUGUAUAGUUGUAUUGGAAAAAAAUUGCAUGCGAGAAGACAUAUUUAAAAAAAACAUGCAUACACAGCUGACAACCUGGAAAAAAAUGCAAACAAAAAAAAUUUACCCCCCCCCCCCAUCACUUUUCUAAUGGUCCGUCCCUUAGCAACCAAUAGCAACCCAUAUUGAAAGAAUUUAAAGCGGUUUUUGCUAUAAAUAAUAUAUUUACACAUGGCACCCUCAUACAAUUGAAUGCAAAUUUACUGAAAUCUAUGACACAAUUGCCACGCCCUACCCUGCCCAGUAAAUUUUAGAGUUUGGCUCUUUUCGGCUUAUUUUGAUCUUGAGUUUGGCAAAAGUUUGGCAAGUUUGGCUUUUUGUCCCAGAAAACAAUCUCGUUCCCCGAGCAUGCCCGUUCGCAGGUUAAGGGUGGGCAUAGCUCUGGAGAAAUCGAAUUGAUUCACGUUGAAUUUCCAACGUGAGUUCUACGCAUGCUCGGCAAUG